AUCGAAUGAGGCGAUUCAGCGUCAGCGCGCGGGACUUGCGUGUGGUUCGUGAUGUUCGUAUUAGGUCUUUGACCGUUACGGCACGCGGCCGCUGCGUCAUGUUCUUGUGCGUCGGCGUGCACUUCGCCUCUAGUAGAACGUCGCGACCCGCUGGGUGUCGAUUUAAGGGCCGAGGUCGUUGACUGACUCCACGUUUUGGCGUGCGAGUCAGACGCUCGGUUUUCCCAAUCGACUGCCCGGCGGUAUAAGCUAUGGUAUUGAGUCGCAAUUUUAUUGUGCGUUCAGGCCCGUUGCAAGCCGAUUCACGCUCUCGGAGUGCGGACCUAGUGCCGUACCCGUGGCGUAUCAGCUGUUGGUCGACGGUGUUCUCGAACAGGCUCAAAAUUUGAACGUUAAUUGAAAAUACCUAUCUGCGACGCUAUUGCUUUGGGUACUUUCAGGACCCGUCUUGAAACACGGACCAAGGAGUCUAACAUGUGCGCGAGUCAUUGGGAACAAUAAAACCUAAAGGCGCAUUGAAAGAAAAAUUCGUUCGACUCUCGAGUCGUUCGAAUAAGGGAGGAUGGGUUGCGUCAAGAUGCAACCUCGCACUCCCGGGGCGUCUCUUAUGCUUUUUAAGCGUCAAGAGGCGCACCAAGAGCGUACACGUUGGGACCCGAAAGAUGGUGAACUAUGCCUGGUCAGGACGAAGUCAGGGGAAACCCUGAUGGAGGUCCGUAGCGAUUCUGACGUGCAAAUCGAUCGUCGGAAC
rnacentral:rRNA from 1 species